rnacentral:misc_RNA from 1 species
AUAUAUAUAUAUAUAUAUGAAAUGAAAGAUAAUAGCAUUUAAGCAUUUAAACAUUUCAAGAAGAUAAUCUAAACACCCAGAUGCUCAAAGCUAAUUAAUACACUCCUAUCCAUAACACCAACAAACACACCAUGGCCCAACCCAAUAUGAAGGUCUUACUUUUCUUCAUUGAAAUAAGAAGAAAGACUUUUGAGCAUGGCCACAGCAUUCUCACAGGUAGGUUUGAACAAAUGGAACACAUGUUCUUCUUCCUUAGCCUCCAUGAUUUCCACAUGUCCUUGCCAUCCACUCUUUUUCAGAUUCUCAUAGUAAUACCAACCUCUAUUUUUCAAGAUAUCCUUCUCAGCAACAAUCACAAGAACUCUGGAACAUCCCAACCUUGCCAAUUUUGGAUCAAAAGCUGGAUUAAUCAAAGGAUCAUCCAACCCACUUGUUGUUGGGCUUACAAAAAGCCACAUAGCAUCAAUCUUUGAUCUUGUUUCUGGAUCUUUAGGCUCAUCUCCCACAGGUUCUUUGCCCCAAAAAUAAGGAUGUAUUAGAACAAUCCCUUUGAGGAUAAUACCAGGCAAUUUCUCUUCAUCAUAUCUCAAGGCCAUAUGGUGGGAUAUAUUGGCACCAGCACUAUCUCCUGCAAGAAAAACCUUACCAAAAUCUGCAUGAAGAUUUAGCCACUCUUCAGGGCCAUUACCAUUAACAUGAGAAGCAACCCAUUGAAGAGCAGACCAUGAAUCAUUGUAUACAGUAGAGAGAAGAUGCUCUGGAGCUCUUCUAUAAUCAACAGAGACUGCUAUAAUCUUAGCCUCUGCAACUAGUGAGUUGAGAUAGUUAUGGUAGGUAGGAGAAAAAGCAGUUUCUAUGCAGAAGGCUCCACCAUGAAAGUAAACCAGCAAAGGGAGUUUUUGGUCUGAUGGGUCGAUUGAUUUUGGUAGGUAAAGUCUUGAAGAAAGAUUAGCUUCUUGGAAGUAGACAACAUCUUUGGAUUGGACAUUGAUCUCUGGAUCAAGAGAAGGAGGGACGAUAUCAUUGCCCAAGAGCCUCUCAACACGCCCAUCUUCGUAUAUCUUGAGUAUGGGAGAGAGAUCUUUGACAACUUUUGGCAGGGUUGAAUCCAUGGAAAGAUAGUUGAGUGAUUUUCUGCCAGAGGACGACAAAUGAGGGAAUGGGUAGUGGAUGGAGCAGAAGACAAAGCUAUAUACUGUAGCCGGGGCCGCACACUUCUUCAGAAUGAGG